CCUACGGGAGGCAGCAGUGAGGAAUAUUGGUCAAUUGUCGGGAGACUGAACCAGCCAAGCCGCGUGAGGGAGGAAGGUACAGAGUAUCGUAAACCUCUUUUGUCAGGGAACAAAGGCGGGGACGUGUCCCCGGAUGAGUGUACCUGAAGAAAAAGCAUCGGCUAACUCCGUGCCAGCAGCCGCGGUAAUACGGAGGAUGCGAGCGUUAUCCGGUUUUAUUGGGUUUAAAGGGUGCGCAGGCGGUCUGUUAAGUCAGCGGUAAAAGCCCGGGGCUCAACCCCGGCCCGCCGUUGAAACUGGCAGUCUCGAGUUGGAGAGAAGUAUGCGGAAUGCGCGGUGUAGCGGUGAAAUGCAUAGAUAUCGCGCAGAACUCCGAUUGCGAAGGCAGCAUGCCGGCUCCACACUGACGCUGAGGCACGAAAGCGUGGGUAUCGAACAGGAUGAGAUACCCCAGUAGUC
rnacentral:rRNA from 1 species